CCAGUUUGUAAAAUAUGGUGGUGUAAAGAAAACAUUUUGAUUCUUGGCUCCCUAAGAUUAAAUGGGAGAGCUCAGUCGAAUACCUGAUUGCAAAGGGUUCUUUUUAAUUUUACAAAUGACUGCUUGUUGACUUUAUUUAAAAAUUAAUCAGCUGUCUUGUCUGAACAUUGUUUCUAUGAAGUCUUUGACACAUACUCUUGCUCAAUUUGUUUUGAUGACACAUUUAACCACUUGAUUUCUCAGCACUUCCUUUGCAUAUACAUUUAUAGCAGAUGAUAAAGUUUCAGUCUGUUUCUUACUUUCUAAUGGUCACCAUGUUCCAUCUGAAGCAAGCGGCUCUACUCUUCAUACAGCUGUUAAAUGUGCACAAUGUCUUUGAAGCUUCAGCGACUGAGACAACAGCCAAUUUCAGUGUGUUGGUGUCCAGCGGUGACCCAGUCACAUUCAAUUGCAACAUAACUGAGAAUGGCAUAAUGCUAAUCAACUGGACCAGUGUCCAAUUUAAUUUUUCAUAUUUCAGCUCGCCUAAUCUGACAACAUUAAAUUUCCCAUCUGAAAGAGUGAAACUAGACUCUAAUAUACCUUCCAAGCUCACCAUCAGUAGAGCACAACAUGAUGAUGAAGGACUUUACACAUGUACUAUAACAGGUGGAGAAGGUGUUCACAAAAUCACAUGGAGUUUAACUGUAUCUGAGAAAAGAGGUUCUCGGUUUUCAAAGUAUAUUUUUUUCAUUCUAUCACCAGCCAUUGGACUGCUUCUAUGUUGCAUCAUGUUAGUUGUCUGCCUCUGCAUCAGAAGACAUUGCAACAGAGAAGAAAAUCAGAAACCGGUCCAAAACCAGUAUCAGCUUCAAUCAGAAGGACAGGAUGUCCGCACUCAACCACAAGCUUGUACAGAUCAGUGGAGGAGCAAACGGCAGAGGAGAGAGUACAUGGAGAGGCUGAAUUCAAUUUAUGGUAAAUUCUGAGCUGAGUUGCCUUUUAUUCACUUUAAGAAAGAGAACCAGUUUGGAAGAUAUUAGUUGUUGAUUUUGUAUUAAAGUAGGUGCUUUAAAAUAUCAAUAAAAUGGAUUCACUAAUCAACAACGUAACUGUUUAAUCUGCAAAAGCUUUGUAUUACUGACAUGUCUUGCUGAUUGUUUUCAAUUAAAAUAUGUCAUUUAAAAGCAUCAGUUCAAUCAUUUACUCAUGUUGAUUUGGAUUGAUUUUACUGGGUAACUGCAGUGUAGUGUAACUUAUGCCCAGUGGAGGGCAGGCGGUGUCAUGCUGAAUGUCAUAAUGCUUUGAGUCUACAGUCAAUCAAGUCUUUACACAUCCUCUCAUCGGCAAACACGUAUUUCCGCCGGUUGCCUCGCAUUAAGUUAUGCGUCACGAACAUUGCAGCAAGCGUAAUCAGCAUUGCUUUUUGAAAAGUGGAGCCAGGCUUUCGCUUUUUUAUCAGCCAUGCUUGUUUUGUUGACUGUUUCAGCAGUUACUCAUGUCAUUAUGCUCUUGCGCAUGCAAUGCUGUGUUCAGGUCAAGCAUGGAAAAUUGGCCACUCUUCCACUCCAUCAGUGUCAUAAUGAUGCGUAUAGGUCCUCACUAAGACUAAGAAAGUAGAGCACAUCACACAUGUUUUAAAGUUCUUACACUGGUUUCCUGUAUCUCAGAGAAAAUACUUUUAAAACAUUUCUGUUAGUCUAUUAAUCACUUGGCACCUAAAUACAUUACAGACUUGUGUUCAGUGUAUCAGACCACUAAGGUCUUCUGGCUCAAGACAACUCUGUAUACCCAGAGAAAGUAUAGAGAAACUUCAUUUAGUUCCUAUGCUCCACUUAUCUGGAACAAGCUGCCAGAAGAUUGGAAGAGUGCUGAAACCCUGAGUUCCUUUAAAUCAAUUUGUUUAGAGUUGCUUUUGAAUGUCAGUUUUCUACUCUAACUGUUGUAUUUCACUGAAACCUCAAUUAGAUUAAGUUUUUAGUUCAACUUUUCUUGACCUGAUGCUACUAUGUUCUUUCACGCUGUAUGUUUUAUUUUAUGUUCAGUUCAUGUACAACACUUUGUAUUUCUUGUUACUGAAAUGUGCAUUAAAAAUAAACUUGCCUUGCUUAGACAUGUAUGCCAUCUGCAAUCUGGUUGGUUAAAUUGUUCCGAGGAAGAGCAAGUGUGAGCUGAUGUCACAUUUGUUAAAAUCCCCCGAUUAAAAACACUGGCUGCUCUCCACUUUGAUUGUAAGCUCUGUUGUACAGUAGGUGUCAGAGAUGGGACACUAGUUCAUAGCGGUUACAGACCUGUCUCUCUUGUGGUAUAGUACAAGAAAUUACAUUUUACAGAUGGUAUGAAUGUUUUCUUGUAAACGGACUGCCUGAAGAAGAAUCACA